rnacentral:rRNA from 1 species
AUUGAACGCUGGCGGCAGGCCUAACACAUGCAAGUCGAACGGCAGCGGGGGAUAGCUUGCUAUCCUGCCGGCGAGUGGCGGACGGGUGAGUAAUGCAUGGGGAGCUGCCCAGUCGAGGGGGAUAACAACUGGAAACGGUUGCUAAUACCGCAUACGCCCUACGGGGGAAAGGUGGGGAACUUCGGUCCUACCGCGAUUGGAUGCGCCCAUGUGGGAUUAGCUAGUUGGUGAGGUAACGGCUCACCAAGGCGACGAUCUCUAGCUGGUCUGAGAGGAUGACCAGCCACACUGGAACUGAGACACGGUCCAGACUCCUACGGGAGGCAGCAGUGGGGAAUAUUGCACAAUGGGGGAAACCCUGAUGCAGCCAUGCCGCGUGUGCGAAGAAGGCCUUCGGGUUGUAAAGCACUUUCAGUCAGGAGGAAGGGGUGAUGGCUAAUAUCAAUCAUCAUUGACGUUACUGACAGAAGAAGCACCGGCUAACUCCGUGCCAGCCGCCGCAGUAA